AGGCCUCCGAAAUCAAGGGUGGGUGAGACCUCGUGAGCCAGCUUGCAGGCGACCCAUACUUGGUUUCAGGGGCCG
rnacentral:pre_miRNA from 1 species